CAGAGCCCUGUUGGCGGCGCCCAGCGCAGGCUUCCUCCUGAAACCAGCACAAUCCUCGCUGAGCUUCUGCAGGCCGGCUCCGGGGCUUCAAAGCCCAGGACCUCAUGGGGGAAGGAGCCUCUGCUCGAGGCGGAGGGGACGCAGAGAAGGGAGCCUCUCAAAUGUGCGGUCUCUGAACUGCGCCCACCCCCUGAAGGCGCGGGGCUCCCCCGCCCCCGGGAAAGGUGCCGCUUCCAGAGACACACAGUGGGCUAGCGGGAGAAGGCUGGAGAUGCGCGAUGUUGAGAAGGCACCCGUGGGAGGCAGAAAAUGGAGACCAGAGGGAAGAAAAUGAGACUACAGUGUUCAAGAGACUUGCCCAAGGCCACACAGAGUAACUGCUUAACCAAGGAGCAGAAACCCAGGCUGGGAAGGAGGAGCCCCAGAAAGAGGGAGAAGGAGACUGCACUCUCUUCUCCUGCCAGAGGCCUCAAGCAGUUCUGAGCUGAAGGAAGAGAACAGAUGAUGGAAUAUAUCUAAAAACUGCUUCUCUUGUGAUGAAUCCAGGCAAAGGAGCUGGGCAUCUCAGAAGAAGGCAGGUGUCCAGGAGAGAGCCCCCACUGCCCAUCACAAGCUGGAAAGGAACAGAGAGAGCCAAGAGAUCAUAAUGAACGACUGAAUCUUGUCUCAUUUACAGUUGGGAGAAAAUAGCAGUUCAAGCCCCCUUCUCCAAACCUAAGAUGGAACUUCAAUGCCUAUUUCCCAGAUGCUGAAAGAAUCUUUCAGAAGCAACAGAACUCAUGCUUGCUUCGCGCCCAGGCUUGCAAAGCUGCCUUCUUAGGUGUCUAUGCUGGAGGGAGGCUGCGGUCCUGAGUAGGUGCCCCGAGAAGGCGUCCUGCCCUGCUUGCUGACUAACCCACAGGUUGGGGGGCAGAGUGCAGGGUGUGUGCUCCCUAGGACUUACUGUAAAUGGCUGAAUUCUCACUACUUCCCUCCUGGGGCUCCGCCCUGAUGAUUUUGGGGUACAUGAGGAUAAUAGAUGCUCUGGAAGAUUGUGGUGGAGGCUGGAAUGGGGUGAAACGCUCCAACAGUCUCUGUCUGUGAUGGAAUUCCUUCCACUCUGGUGGGAACCUGGGGAGGGUGAAGUGGUUAUUGCCUCUCACUCUUCUCACAAUGCUAAGAAGGGGACAGAGGCCGGGGAGAGGAAGUGAAAGAAUCUUCACCGUCCUACUCUCUUUAAAUGAAUACAGGCUUUCCAAGUGGCCGAAAGAGUGCACCGUAGAAUGUGCUUCUACUCAGCGAGCAACACGGCCUCUGAUAUGCCUCUAACAAAAGAUAAUCGUGACCAGGUACUCCUGAAGGAAACUGAGAUUCUAAAAUUUCUUUGAUAUCUUACUUAAGAGAAAAAUUUUUAUUUUGGAACAAUUUUGGAUUUAUCAUUAUUAUUACAAAGAUAAUACAGAGUUUCUGUACACUCCACACCCAGUUUCCAUUAUGAUUAUCUUAUUUUACAAUGGUACGUUUGUCACAAUUAAUAAAGCAAUAUUGUUACAUUA